rnacentral:lncRNA from 1 species
AGUUUCACAAAAUACAAAUAUACCAUCAAUUAUACUGUAACAAAGGCUGCCACACUGAAUUCAGGUUGAACUUUUAUUUAUCUUGUUUCUAGGGGGUCGUGGGGCCAAUGGGGUUAAAAGGAGACGAGGGUCAGAGGGGAGCCCCUGGUGAUCCUGCCAAGGGUAUUAUUGGUCCAACUGGAAAAAAAGGUGCCAGGGGAGACAUCGGUCCAGUUGGCCCCACAGGGCCCCAGGGAAUAAAAGGUGAACGAGGAGACAAAGGAGAAAAGGUUAAUAGUGAGAAAUGUUGCACAUCAUUCUUGUAUUAAAUAAAUUGAAUUCCUAUUGACUAAUAUAUGAAUAUGGCUAAUAGACUUUAAUUGCUGUGACUGGUUAUGGUGUGUGUAGGGAAAUCCUGGGUUUGGGAUUCCAGGACAGCAGGGACCAAAGGGAGAAAAUGGUGAGAGGGUGAGUGAAAACCACAUUUACUCAUGUCACAUUUCUUCCCUGUUGCCAUUCUAUAAUAAGGCAUCACUUUAUUGAUUUUAUUGUUCAUAGGGGAAUGUUGGUCUGUCUGGAAAACCAGGACCAAAGGUAAAGUUUGCUAGCUUCUCUUAUAUGUAACAUUAACUGUAUCAGAGUCACAUCUGCAGUUAUGUUUUGUCAAUUUUGAACUUCCAGGGACAGGAUGGCUUUAAAGGUGACAAAGGGGAUAUCGGGCUCCCUGGCAAUUCUGGAGAACCAGGAUUAAGAGGUAAAGAUGUAAGUAAAUCCUGAGUGGUUGUCACAGUAAGAAAUGAACGUUCUUUGUAUAGUUCAGUAAAAUAUCAAUCUAGUCUAUCUUUCUGCCGUCAGGCUAAAGAUUCAACUUCAGUGCAUCAGUGAAAGAACACAUGUCAUCUUUUCCUUUUUAG